UAUAUAUAUAUAUAUAUAUAUAUAUCUGAUACGUAUACAUAUAUACCAGAUAAAAUAUGUCAUAUAUAUCAGUUAUAUAUACACAUUAGAUGAAAAGUACAUUUUCAUUUGACAGGGAAUUCUUUCAAAUCAAAUCAUCAAACACUCUAAAAUUGGGCAAAGUACACUUUUCCAGAUCUGCAAGUUACUUGUGUACAUAGGAAAAAGUCCUUCGCAUUUCUGGUAUAAGAAUUUAAAUUAAAAGAGGAAUGAAACAGUUUUCUAUCCACAAUAUUUGUGAGGAUGUUUUAUACUCCUGCUUAAAGUUUAAGUUGCUGAUUACUUUUCAAAUAGAUAAUUUGGUGGUAAGUACUACAAUUAAAAAAUAUGUAUGCCCUUUACACAUCAAUUCCAUUUACUAAAACACCCUUAGGAAAUAAAGAUACAUGCACUUUAUUUUUCACCUCACUUAUUUUAAAAAGAACCCAAAGAAUGGAUCCUAUAAAUAAACUUCAGUUGCAUCCACAGGAUGGAAUAAUAUGUGACCAUUGAAGGUGGCAAUAGAUACAGAAGUAUAUUGAUGUGCAAAGAUGUAUUUUGUUAUAGCUAGUGAGAAAAAAAUCAAUUAAGUUAUACAUACAAACAAACUAUGGUCUUGUUUUAUCAAAAAAUAUGUACAAAAUAUAAAAUUUGUAAUUUCUGAGCAUUUGUAUUUUAAGUAAAGUUCUUUUCCUUUUUCUUAUCUGUGAUUGCUGCAGUGAGCAUGUACAAAACUUCUAGUAAAGUUUAUUAAUAAAGAAAUAAUCCUUGGGAAGACAGGAAUAUGAAUCUUACAAUAUUAAAAAUAAUUUCUCACUUUCUAUUUUUUAUCAUUAUUGAGUGUAUUGUUAUCUUCUUUGAACUUUUAGCCUCUUCAGAAGUAAAAAGGGAAUAUUUUUAUCUGUUUCCAGAUUUUAUUAUCUAUAUAUUUUAUUAUGUACAUAUGUUUUUCUUAUGUAUUCAUUCAAUUUAUGCAAACAAUGAUAGAUUAAUCAUUUCAUUUUAAUUGUAUUCUUAAAUAAAAAUAACAUAUAAAUAUUACUAUUGCAAAAAUAUUGCUUUAUAGGAGUUUAUUUAAAAAUAUUGAACUCCCCAACUGUAUUUUUCCAUUCUUUCAUUCCAUUUAUUCAUCAAACAUAACCUGAGUAUCUGUUAUGUAGCAGACAUAUUCUGCUGUCUCUCAGGUCCCUUCUAUCCUUAAAAACUUCAUGUUUACCUGCCCUGCCUGCACAAGCUGAGAGAUUUAAAAUAGGAAUAUUGGGACUUAAUCUCCUUGAAACUUUGUCACCCAACUUUCAAACAAAAGCAUUUCUGAAGUUAGAAAAUAGUAGAAGAUAAGCUUUAACUGCCCACUCAAAAGUUUAUCAGUCUUAAAUAUUAAUAUUAAUCAUGGGAAUGUCUUAUUUACAUAUAUUCUGUAAGCAUAAAUAUUGAAUAAAAUGAACCAUAUGUAUUCAUUUGAAUCAUGAGUUUCCUUUGUCUUCAAUUUGUUUGAAAAUCAAGGAAUUAAUUUGUUUGAAAAAUGCAUUAUUAUUAUUUCAGUGUUCUAUCCCCAUAGUACCUUUAAGCAGGCGGACAAGCCAGCAACCUCACCCGCUCAAGGAAGCCCAGAUGGCCAGGUUCCAACAGCAUGAGUAGCUGCCACCUGAUGGCUGAUGGAGCAGAGUCCUGAGGAAAAGCAGAUGGCACUGGGGCCCUAACUCUAGGGCAGAAGAACUGAUGUACUGUGACUGGCAGCAUGUGAGGUUGGUGAUUGGCCCACCUGUUCCUG
rnacentral:lncRNA from 1 species